GACAGAAGUCCCUUCCCCCUUGCUGCCGGGUGUAAAUGCAACAGGAAACCCAAACCGAAUAUCACAUGGCACGCUUCCAUACUGUGAACAAAUCUAAAACUUGUAUUCAUGAUGAGUUUAACAUACUUUCCUGAGCUGAACAGAUAAUAACCAUUGUGAAUAACAUUAUGUGUGGGGGGAAAUAUCUGUCAAAUUCCAACUAAGUGACUUCCAAAAAACAUUUGCAUUGCAUCAAUUUGUAAUCCAUAAGCUCAUUUUCCUGCUUUCUUUUUUCAGUUACAUAAUGAAAUUUAAUGAAGCAAGUGUCAGAUCUGCAUCUCUCCUUAAACUCAUUUUAUCAGUUCAGAGAAUAAAGAAAUGAAUUUAAUAAUGUGAAGUCAUUGACUUGGCUACUUGUAUUCGAUCGGAUCCUAAUCAUUUCUCACACUAAUGCAUUCCUCUAUCGCCUUCAUGUUAUUUAAGAAGAGACGGAGCCAAAGAGUGAGUAAUUCCUGGAUUGUGAAAGUUAGGACGAUUUGGCUACAGAUUUCAAGGUGAGAGAUGUGCAUAAAUUAGAGGCAGCUGGAGACAUUUAAAAGUCAGCCUACUAUUCCUGGGUGAUGGCUGCAUCAUAAUAUCCAGUGUACUUACUGAUUGAGUGAACUGUAUUCUCAAACAAGUAAGCAAAUUUAUGCCAAAUUUAGAUAU
rnacentral:lncRNA from 1 species